UACGUAGGGGGCAAGCGUUGUCCGGAAUCAUUGGGCGUAAAGAGCGCGUAGGCGGUCCGGUAAGUCGGUUGUGAAAACUGGGGGCUCAACCCUCAGAGGCCGACCGAUACUGCUUGGCUAGAGUCCGGAAGAGGAGUGUGGAAUUCCCGGUGUAGCGGUGAAAUGCGCAGAUAUCGGGAAGAACACCCGUGGCGAAGGCGGCACUCUGGGAUUGUAUUGACGCUGAGACACGAAAGCGUGGGGAGCGAACAGG
rnacentral:rRNA from 1 species